AGCACAAAAUAUGUAUCACAAGCACUAAGGGCUAUAGCUCAGUUGGUAGAGCAACUCGUUUACACGCCCUA
rnacentral:tRNA from 1 species